rnacentral:rRNA from 1 species
CUCCCGGAUGUUAGCGGCGGACGGGUGAGUAACACGUGGGUAACCUGCCUGUAAGACUGGGAUAACUCCGGGAAACCGGAGCUAAUACCGGAUAGUUCCUUGAACCGCAUGGUUCAAGGAUGAAAGACGGUUUCGGCUGUCACUUACAGAUGGACCCGCGGCGCAUUAGCUAGUUGGUGAGGUAACGGCUCACCAAGGCGACGAUGCGUAGCCGACCUGAGAGGGUGAUCGGCCACACUGGGACUGAGACACGGCCCAGACUCCUACGGGAGGCAGCAGUAGGGAAUCUUCCGCAAUGGACGAAAGUCUGACGGAGCAACGCCGCGUGAGUGAUGAAGGUUUUCGGAUCGUAAAGCUCUGUUGUUAGGGAAGAACAAGUGCAAGAGUAACUGCUUGCACCUUGACGGUACCUAACCAGAAAGCCACGGCUAACUACGUGCCAGCAGCCGCGGUAAUACGUAGGUGGCAAGCGUUGUCCGGAAUUAUUGGGCGUAAAGGGCUCGCAGGCGGUUUCUUAAGUCUGAUGUGAAACCCCCCGGCUCAACCGGGGAGGGUCAUUGGAAACUGGGAAACUUGAGUGCAGAAGAGGAGAGUGGAAUUCCACGUGUAGCGGUGAAAUGCGUAGAGAUGUGGAGGAACACCAGUGGCGAAGGCGACUCUCUGGUCUGUAACUGACGCU